UCCGAGUUGACCCCGGCAGUCUCCUAUGAGUUCCCACCAUUACGUGCUGGCAACAUAGAACGAGGGUUGCGCUCGUUGCGGGACUUAACCCAACAUCUCACGACACGGGCUGACGACAGCCAUGCAGCACCUGUGCACGAUCUCCGAAGAGGGGCUCUCGUUUCUGAGAGCUUGCUCGUGCAUGUCAAGCCUAGGUAAGGUUCUUCGCGUUGCAUCGAAUUAAACCACACGCUCCGCCGCUUGUGCGGGCCCCCGUCAAUUCCUUUGAGUUUUAGCCUUGCGGCCGUACUCCCCAGGCGGGACACUUAACGCGUUAGCUGCGGCACAGAGGGGGUCUACACCCCCCACACCUAGUGUCCAACGUUUAGGGCGUGGACUAC
rnacentral:misc_RNA from 1 species